rnacentral:rRNA from 1 species
UACGUAGGGGGCUAGCGUUGUCCGGAUUUAUUGGGCGUAAAGAGCGUGUAGGCGGCCAUGUAGGUCCGGUGUGAAAACUCGAGGCUUAACCUCGAGAUGUCAUCGGAAACCAUUUGGCUAGAGUCCGGAAGAGGAGAGUGGAAUUCCUGGUGUAGCGGUGAAAUGCGCAGAUAUCAGGAGGAACACCGGUGGCGAAGGCGGCAUCCUGGACCGGUAUUGACGCUGAGGCGCGAAAGCGUGGGUAGCAAACAGG